rnacentral:rRNA from 1 species
AUUGAACGCUGGCGGCAUGCUUUACACAUGCAAGUCGAACGGUAACAGGUUAAGCUGACGAGUGGCGAACGGGUGAGUAAUGCAUCGGAACGUGCCCGAUCGAGGGGGAUAACGCAGCGAAAGCUGCGCUAAUACCGCAUACGAGCUGAGGAUGAAAGCGGGGGACCGUAAGGCCUCGCGCGAUCGGAGCGGCCGAUGUCAGAUUAGGUAGUUGGUGGGGUAAAGGCUCACCGAGCCAACGAUCUGUAGCUGGUCUGAGAGGACAACCAGCCACACUGGGACUGAGACACGGCCCAGACUCCUACGGGAGGCAGCAGUGGGGAAUUUUGGACAAUGGGCGAAAGCCUGAUCCAGCAAUGCCGCGUGCAGGAAGAAGGCCUUCGGGUUGUAAACUGCUUUUGUACGGAGCGAAAAGGCUCUCUCUAAUACAGGGGGCUCAUGACGGUACCGUAAGAAUAAGCACCGGCUAACUACGUGCCAGCAGCCGCCGUAA